rnacentral:rRNA from 1 species
UACGGAGGAUGCGAGCGUUAUCCGGAUCUAUUGGGUUUAAAGGGUGCGUAGGCGGAUCGUUAAGUCAGUGGUCAAAUUGAGGGGCUCAACCCCUUCCCGCCAUUGAAACUGGCGAUCUUGAGUGGAAGAGAAGUAUGCGGAAUGCGUGGUGUAGCGGUGAAAUGCAUAGAUAUCACGCAGAACCCCGAUUGCGAAGGCAGCAUGCCGGCUUCCUACUGACGCUGAAGCACGAAAGCGUGGGGAUCGAACAGG